AACGAACGCUGGCGGCGUGGAUAAGACAUGCAAGUCGAACGGGAUUAUUUUUGUAGCAAUACAGAAAUAAUUCAGUGGCGAACGGGUGCGUAACACGUGGGCAAUCUGCCGAAAAGUGGGGGAUAGCUCGCCGAAAGGCGAAUUAAUACCGCAUGUGGUGAGGGGACGACAUCUUCCUGAAUCCAAAGCCGGGGCAACCUGGCGCUUUUUGAGGAGCCCGCGGCCUAUCAGCUAGUUGGCGGGGUAACGGCCCACCAAGGCUAUGACGGGUAGCUGGUCUGAGAGGACGACCAGUCACACUGGAACUGAGACACGGUCCAGACACCUACGGGUGGCAGCAGUCGAGAAUUUUUCUCAAUGGGGGAAACCCUGAAGGAGCGACGCCGCGUGGAGGAUGAAGGCUUU
rnacentral:rRNA from 1 species